rnacentral:rRNA from 1 species
UACGAAGGGGGCUAGCGUUGCUCGGAAUCACUGGGCGUAAAGGGUGCGUAGGAGGGCAGGUAAGUCAGUGGUGAAAUCUCCAAGCUUAACUUGGAAACUGCCGUUGAUACUAUCUGUCUUGAAUAUUGUGGAGGUGAGCGGAAUAUGUCAUGUAGCGGUGAAAUGCUUAGAUAUGACAUAGAACACCAAUUGCGAAGGCAGCUCACUACUCAAUCAUUGACUCUGAGGCACGAAAGCGUGGGGAUCAAACAGG